rnacentral:rRNA from 1 species
AACGAACGCUGGCGGCAGGCUUAACACAUGCAAGUCGAACGCUUCACCUUCGGGUGGGGAGUGGCAGACGGGUGAGUAACGCGUGGGAACGUACCCUUCAGUUCGGGAUAACCCAGGGAAACUUGGGCUAAUACCGGAUACGUCCUGCCCCCUAAACAAGGGUGGGAGAAAGGUUUACUGCUGAAGGAUCGGCCCGCGUCGGAUUAGCUAGUUGGUGGGGUAAAGGCCCACCAAGGCGACGAUCCGUAGCUGGUCUGAGAGGAUGAUCAGCCACACUGGGACUGAGACACGGCCCAGACUCCUACGGGAGGCAGCAGUGGGGAAUAUUGGACAAUGGGCGCAAGCCUGAUCCAGCCAUGCCGCGUGAGUGAAGAAGGCCUUAGGGUUGUAAAGCUCUUUCAGCGGGACGAUAAUGACGGUACCCGCAGAAGAAGCCCGGCUAACUUCGUGCCAGCCGCCGCAGUAAC